AAGGACCAGCGAUGGAAACCCUAGACUAUCGUUUCCCCAGUCCCGCCGCCGCACGCUCUCCCUCUCGCGUGCUCAUUCUCCCACCUCUCCACCUCCAAGCCCCUGCUUCCGCACGUCAUUCUUCUCCCAUCCUCGCGUCGCCGGUCUGGAGGCUAGAGCUUGUGGCCGACGCCUCCGCUCGCCAUUUGCCACGCCUCCGGAUCUGAACUCGCCCGCGGUGGCAGCGAUUGGUGGAUGAGAGCCGAGUCCUGAACGGGAAGCAGCGCCUGUCCCUGUCCCACUGCCGUUGGAGAGGCAAGGAUGGUAUCGGCCGUGCCGCAGCAGCUCGGCGGCUGCCACUUCUUCACAUCCCCAUCGAGUCGGCGAGUCGCCCUCUGUCGGGCCCACGGAAUCGGCUCCCAUGACUACACGUUCUUCCUCGGCCUGUUGUAAACCAUGGUUCUUCUCAAGCGCGGGCUAAGGUGGCACCAUGGCUCGUGCCAAGGAGGCAGCAGCGACCUGCAAACCCUGCAACCAGCAGUAACACGACAUUAUGCAGGCUGAUAUUUCUUCAGGGCGUGGCUGGACUCCCCUCCCAGGAUCUCACUCCACCACGGGGCCUUCCUGCUGUGAGCCUCUCUGGACGGGAGCUACAACGCCCGUCCCCAUCUCACCUUAGGCAAGAUAUGUGUAGAAUUUGGAAAGGACUUGCGAGCUAGGAAAAUUUGGGAAAGGACGUUGGGAAGAUAACUAGGUUUUCAGUGUGGAGGAACAUGACAAUUUGAACCAACUAAGAUGCAAGGGCAUGCUUCACAUGGAUUCAGACACAAUUUUUUUUGGGAAUAGAUGGUUUUACUAGCCGAUGGCAUCAGAGGAGCAGCUGCAAGCGCCGAGUGAGGAAUUUUCCUUUUGCUCGCAUGUGUCUUGUGGUCACUUGAAACAGAGCACUACCUCUGCUUGCAAGUGUCAGAACUACAGGUUUUUGGCUGAACAUUCAAUUGUGGCAAAAUUUUAUUGAUCCUCAUGAUUUUGAGAUCUAGUGUGCCUUGUUAGUUUGGAAUCAGAAGAUGCAUGCAUGCUGCAACCUUCCUGCUUAUCAAUUAAGUUCUCUGCAUCCUAAACUCGCUGACCUGGUAUGAUCCGUGUGAUUAAGAGAUGUUUCACCUUUUCUCCAUAACAAUUCUACAAUGCCCCACAAGAGGGAUCCACCACGCCGGUGGACUUCACUUGCCACUCCGGGAAGGGUUUUCACAUUCCAUUUCCAUCCAUCAGCUUUUCAGUUCUUGUUAGUUUUCACAUUUACAUUUCACCAUAUCGGGGAUUUAGAGGGCAGCACUUCUUUCUUGGUUAUAUUAAUCAGCCGCAUUGUUUUGUGAUUACAGAGAAGAAAUGACUUCAACCAGGGCAAAUUGAUAGGGAGGAUAGAUUACGGCGAACUGUCUAUGUCCCAAACAUUGAUCAACAUGAUGCUAAAUAGAAGCUUGCUCAGGUUUUCUCAACUUGUGGCCAAACCCUACUCAAGCAUCUACACCCUCUUCAGCGACCGACGCCCUGUCUGAUGGAAACGAGAGACGGGCGGUCGCUCUGCUUGAAAAGAGAGACAAACGGUCUCUGAGCGAGGGAGGGGCGGAGGUUCGUCUUUGCCGGCCGUAUGACAUUCCUGGUUGCUGGUGGAGGUGCAGGGCGCUCACCUGAUUUAGGGAAGGCACCGUGGCUGUUCGGUGAAGCGGGUUGAUGAAGCUGAUGUGCUUUGUUCCUAAAAACAAUGCAUCAUCAGUUCCUGGAAGAGUUCAGUACAUGCACGUGUAUAUGUUUCUCUGAUGCUCUCCUGUCGCGUUCUUACUCCGGCAGCAGAAUCUCAAGCAACUAUGGUUCUCGGACUAGGUGGCCCCUCUAUCUUCAUUUUUAUUCUCCAGUACGAUCACUUCUUUGACCCAACAAUUCCGUUGUGCUAUUUUCUUUCCAAUCUCAGAAUUGUACAGUUGGUUUUCAUCCUAGUUCUUCAGGCAAAAUUUGAAGUUUUGCUCCCAUUUUUGGUUUGAGGAAAUUUAACUUGCAAAGCUACCGCCAGGUGAAUUAAUUAGGUCCCAUGGGUUUGGAUACCUCAUCUCUUCACUGACUGCAUCUCUUCAUGUUUCCAGAUUGUGCAUUGGUCUAGAAAUACAUACUUAACUCGGUAAUGUGGACUUCACUACUGUGGUACACUGUAAAUGGCAAGCUUUUACAUGAAGCACUUUUGGUGAUCCUAAGGAUUUGCUACAGAAAAGUAUAAUAUGAUAUUGAGUUUCAUUCUCUUCCUUUCUGCAUUUCCUUGAAUAUUGUGCGUUCAAUUAGCUCAACCGGAUAGCAAGGUAUGUGUUGUUUCUCUGAUCCCAUAAUAUUGGAUUACCAGCUAUCAUCUUGAUUUUAACUGUACACUAUGGUGCCUAGGACGUAUCAGACACAAGUGUUGAGGCUCUAACAAAAAAUGUGAUUUGUUGCUUAUCCAUUUUAUAUUUUUGACUCUCCAUAGUUGUGCCCCUAAUUGCAUGACCUGUUUGCGGACAUGCCCAGUUAGCACACCUCUGCUUAUUAAACCGGUAUAAACAUAUUGUACUUUCUAAAUCUCUGUAUUUUAAUCAUUUUCUGUUAGCUACAAUAGUGCUCCCCUUAAAUAUAAAGAAGCCACACUUGAUGGUGCUAUUAGCGACAGAUGGCUAUGAGAUCCCUCAUCAGCAGUUUGAAGCAACCAUUAUCCUUUCACUCCAUCUAUGAUACUAGGGAUGGCCAUGGAUCUGACUUGGGGAACGUAUGACCUCUGCAAUUAGGAAAUGUCAAGGGUUAGCUCUUCUGAACAUAUUCCUCAUGGUAGAAAUGGCUGGUAUACAUGCCGACACGCCCAUCCGUGUGUUCAAGACUGGCUGAUUCACACCAUGGCUGGUAUACAUGCUAGGAUGCCUCUCCCUUCUGAAUCAUAAUUUCAUGAAAUGUUGUCAAAUGCAAAUAGUCAGUGUAUUCUUUUUGCUAUUCAAUUUUCACACACAUUUUCUUAUUGAUCUAUCCAGUCAUAAGAGCAGGUAUAUUUGUAUGAGCAUUAGAUUGUACUAACAUUUAUGGAAGUGACGAUGUUUUAAAUUUCUCAAGAAAUUAAUUUUGAUGCGCAGGCCAUUGAAAUAGUACCAUGAUCUGAAUUUUUAUUAGCAAUCACAUGUUAUACCUUGAUGCAAGUUUGGGAGGGUUGAAGCUAUUGGAUCCAGACGAGCUCCUCGUGUUCCAGAUUGCCAUUGAUAAAUUGUUCCAUGUAUCGGUGCAGAUGUGUACACACAAGCUAACCAAAAGGAGCAGAAAAGGGGUGCACACAACAUGUCUGCUCGUUAAUAACAAGUCAGGAGGGGGCUAUCCAAGGACGAGAAAGCUGGGAAGCUCGCAUUGCAGCUUUGGCUUAAGCUGUGAGCACUUUUUCGUCAGAGAAGCUGUAGUUUGAUGUUUUGGCCAAGCAAUGGGCUGUUGUACCACAAUGGUGUUCCUAAUUGUUGGCUCUUCCAUAUAGAAGCUCUGAAACAAAAUGAGAUGGCCUCAAAUUAAGGACAGUUAAACCAGCUGCUCCGAGAGGGGAUGUUGAGGAUAACGACAAUGACGAGCAAGUCGGUGUUUGUGAAGCUUCGCCUGAGCCAUUCCAGCUCUUCCAGAGGCACAAGGAGAGCCUAAAGUCAGGGUACGUUCAAUCGAGGACACUUGAUUCUCCAAGAAUUUGUUGAGGAUAACAAUGGCAACGAGCAAGUCGGCAUUUGCGAAGCUUCAUCAGAGCCAUUCCAGCUCUUCCAGAGGCACAAGGAGAGCCUAAAGUCAGGGUACGUUCAAUCGAGUACACUUGCUUCUCCAAGAAUUUGUAUAAUCAUUAGAAGUCCAAAGAAUGAGUCAAGCCAAAGAUAUGAAAAUGGAACACAUUUGCGCUCCUACGAGAAGAAGGUCGCGCAACUGAGGAUUCAGGACGCCAACAGUGCGGAGCUGUUCGCCAUUGAGAGGACCAGGGCUGCCAUCAGGGACAUCUGGACCAAGUUCAACAUCUCCCUUGCCUCCGUCAACGCCGGCGACCGACUCUACAAGCGUCUAGCUGUGCUUUAUGACAUGAUGAAUGCUGCCAUCGCUUGCUUUUGAGCACCUACAAGUUACCCUGUUGCAUGUAAUCUCUAAGACUGCCACUCAUCAGGCUUGCAUGCGCCUGUUAAUACCAGGGCUAUAACAACACUUUUAUGUGUAUAUACUCAGUUCUGCUUCC